UUGGGCCCAUGCGUCGGUCAUGGCUCGAAAUUUGCGUCGUGACACAUACAAGCCAAUAAACCCAUGGGUACAUGAUGGACUCAAGGUGGAAAAGGAAAGCGGAAGUGUGCAAAUGGAAAAUGGACAUUGUGGUGAUCAACUAAAGGAGAAAACGUACCUAGAUAAGUGGCGAAGUGAUAUCCCGCCUUUGUAAGAUAGUGAUUGGCCUAGCGUGCAAUCAUCGGAACUUAUGGUCCAUCGCAGAUAGGUAAAGGCAUAUCGUAGCAUUUCAUUCUAAGUCACUCCGCUGCUAGAGGUCGAGUCGUAGCACUUUGUUUAUUUAAUUGUAAAUGGAUAAUGGCCUUGGUAUAAGCAUUAAAUUGGAGACUUUAUACCUCAUUGUAU